UNUGCCUGGACUUGCAGGGCCUAUCCACU
rnacentral:piRNA from 1 species